UUACUCUUUUAGAGUAGGUUUGAUAUAUAACUCGCAUACCUCGAGGUGAACAAAUCGAAAGCUGGACUCCAUCGCCUUCUUCCCUCGGCAACGACUGGGACUCCGACUCCGACUCCGUUAGAUUGAAUCUUCGCAAGGAAGCUUAGUGUACGAAUCUGAGGACAAUUCAAAAAUCGGAGAAUCACAAUCAGCGGUUGCAGAUUUUGAUAAUCUGAGAGCUUUGGUCACUAGCAAUGGAUUCGAAGCUUUGGCACUGAAUUUUGAUUGCGAUUCAGGUACGAUUCCAGUGAACUUCAUCGGUCAUCGUGUUCUUCCCCCAACUCCGACUCCGUCGAUCUUCUCCUCCAACGAAUUACUUGAUUGUCUAACUAUAGAAGAACUGGAGAGGCUUGCCAGAUUGGGUCCAAGAGCUCAGAAGACAUUGCUUUAUAAUUUAACCGGUAUGGCCUAUUGAAGUUGACCUACAAUUUUUGGACCCAUUGGACGUGAGCUUAAGUCUAUUGGAAAGCUUGCAACUAUUGAAUAGGAGCCAACAAGUCUCAAUAUCCAGUUUACAAAAGAAGCAUUGCAAAAAUUGGCAGAUGAAAAGGGCAUCAAGCAACAUACAUAUCAUUGAAGGAUCAUUGAAGGCUUUUGAACUUCUAGGAAGACUUGUAUGUACUUCCUUUUAUUUUGAAAUGGCUAUCAAGGAUGGAUAUUGACAUUUGUAUAUUUUGGAUUUAGAAAGUUAGUAUUUCAAGAUGGAGGUUGAUGUUUAUUAUUGGAUUGAUAUAAUCAACCCUUGUUAACCAGCAGUUUUACAAUACAUUUUCAUAUGGUGGUUUUGGAAUAUUGAAGGCUACUAUUGAGCCGUUUAUUGCAUAAAGAAUUGACCAUUGU